CUAGCUAACUGAAAUCAGAUAUAGAAAAUAAGAUUUCCUAUAUCAGAUAUGUAGGCAAAAAUAAUGAUAAAUCCUUACUAUGAGUGUCGUCAAAAACUAGUGCCAGAAGACUCGGUAAGGGCAGAGACGCAGACGUUAGUCGUCAUUAUCAGGGUAAAGGGUUCGUAGGCGGCUUUGAGAUCUUUUUCUUUAAAAAUAGCACUCUUCUUAGAGUUAAGGAAAGAGACAAUUAAAGCUAGAAUCAUAAGAGGUCAUAUUAAAUAAUUCUAAGGCAAUAAGGGGUAUAAUCUUAAAAUUUCUUAGAGGAAUAUUAAAGGGCGAAGGCUUUUUUUCCAUAAAUGAUUGACGCUGAGGAACGAAGGGGAGGAUAGGAAUAAGGAUUAGAUACCAACUACCCCUCUCUGUCAACGAUGAAUGGUAGUUAACCUGUAAUAAUAGGUAGCAAUGCUAACGCUAUAACCAUUCCGCCAUGCGAGUACGACUGCAAAGUUGAAAGCAAAAAAUUAGUCGGUUUCGAAGCAAACGAA
rnacentral:rRNA from 1 species